AAGAGAAGAUUUUCUGUCGAAAAAACGAAUGUCAACAAUCGGCAUGGAACUGGGAUAUUCGUAUCAAAGGGCUAUGUAUGUAGGAAAAUGACUGAAUAUUACUAAGUCAACAAAUUGGGGUUAUGAAGAAUUCCAGCCUGCAUUAAAUAUGUUAGAUCAUUGAGACAGAUUUGACAUCCAUGUCAUCCACAAGGCAGUCACAUCUGAUAGAGAUGAUCACUAAACAUUCUAGAUGGGUAAAGAACCUGAAGGGGCAUAAAAACCAAAUCAGCAUUGACUCAGCAUUGAGUAUUUAUCAUCUGUGCACACACUACAAGUACAAACGCAUGGGAACAUACCAAACUUCAAAUGUUGAAGAGUGAAGACUUAUUGUGAAAAAUUCUAAAUGUAAGAAUACCAUUGACAAAAUAAAACAAAUAGACAUUGAUUACCUACAGAGACUGUUUACAUGUUAUAAUAUUAAAAAGACAAAUUAGUUGAGAACUUUCACUCUGACAUUUUUGGAGGGGCAUUACCGCCUACAUGUACAUAGUGUUCUUGUUUCUUUACAUAUUUUAAUUUGAAAGUACAUUCAUUGUUUUUAAAUCUGAAUUCUGAGUAAGUAUCAUAUGUAAAAUUCAUUUAUUUGAAUGAUUACAUUUUAUGAAUAAGUCCAAUAAAGCUUUAUCAAUUUUUACAAGAAAAGGGUUGAUUUUUAAGCGUUUUAUUAGCUAUAAAAAUGUAUGGUUACAUGACAUUAUGUAUUUUUUUUCUUCAAAAUUGAACGGUAAACUAUCAUAAAUUGUCUUUUAAAUUGUUCAUUAGACAUCAUAGAAAAUAUUUAAAAUGAUUUCAGCAGGUUGUCUUAUUAUUAAUUAUUUUUUAUGAAUUUAUAAAACUGCUUUAUAUUUUCAAACAUCGAAAUACUGCUGUUCAGAAGACUCACAAGAUCAAUCCAAAUGAUUUUUUUGCAUGUGUAUCAAUAAUGCUGUUCGGUUGAACUUAUGUUUUCUGUUAACUGAAGUUUAUUUCACCAGAAACUGUUGUGUUUAUUUCAUAAGCUCUGAUAAUGUGAAACAAAAAUCAAAUAUAGACAAAAUAUUUACUUUUCGCUCUUUGUAGCCCUUGGAGUUUGGGGUUGGGUGUAAUGAAACUUAAAUACCUUUAAUUCACGGUAAAAUAUCUUCAAAAUUUGGAUAAAAGUCCCAUAGUGUACCUUGAUAAUAUUAUGUUGUCGGUGAAAGUUUUUAUUAAAGUGUGUAUAACUUCAAUACCUUAAUUCAGUUUAAAUAAUUAUGGCCUUUAAUAAUUUUUGUUUUCAAAUAGAUUUCCUGUUAUAUUGAGCUUUGUCAAUUUUGUUGUUGUUUUGUAUUAUGUACAAUUACUACUUCUAUUUCCUAACUUAAAUUUUUUGUCUCAUUUGUCAAAUUGAAUUGUUACAUAUUUCAUAU